UACGUAGGGUGCAAGCGUUAAUCGGAAUUACUGGGCGUAAAGCGUGCGCAGGCGGUUUUGUAAGUCUGUCGUGAAAUCCCCGGGCUCAACCUGGGAAUUGCGAUGGAGACUGCAAGGCUAGAAUCUGGCAGAGGGGGGUAGAAUUCCACGUGUGAGCAGUGAAAUGCGUAGAGAUGUGGAGGAACACCGAUGGCGAAGGCAGCCCCCUGGGUCAAGAUUGACGCUCAUGCACGAAAGCGUGGGGAGCAACAGGAUUAGAUACCCGUG
rnacentral:rRNA from 1 species